rnacentral:tRNA from 1 species
UCCGGUAUGGUGUAGUGGCUAACAUUUGACGCUCUCAUCGAGCAGUUCUUCUGCGAGAAAGCACCGUCAAGCCCUGGGUUCGAUUCCCAGUACCGGAG